GGGAAAUGAUAAGUUGUCAAAACUCACAUUCUAUGUGAGAAUUGGGUGUCCAGCUUGCCUAAGCCUGGUUACGACAAUAUGGGCACUCCGAUUUGUUACUGAUCUGAUCCC